CCAAUAGCGUAUAUUAGUGUUGUUGCGGUUAAAAAGCUCGUAGUUGAAUUUCGGGGUUAGUAGGCUGGUCAUGCCUCUGGUAUGUACUGGUCUCACUGAUUCCUCCUUCCUGAUGAGCUGUAAUGCCAUUAAUUUGGUGUUGCAGGGAAUCUGGACUGUUACUUUGAAAAAAUUAGAGUGUUUAAAGCAGGCUAACGCUUGAAUACAUUAGCAUGGAAUAAUGAAAUAGGACGUUCGAUCCUAUUUUGUUGGUUUCUAGGAUUGACGUAAUGAUUAAUAGGGAUAGUUGGGGGCAUUAGUAUUCAAUUGUCAGAGGUGAAAUUCUUGGAUUUAUUGAAGACUAACUACUGCGAAAGCAUUUGCCAAGGAUGUUUUCAUUAAUCAAGAACGAAAGUUAGGGGAUCGAAGACGAUCAGAUACCGUCGUAGUCUUAACCAUAAACUAUGCCGACUAGGGAUCGGAUGAUGUUAAUUUUUUAAUGACUCAUUCGGCGCCUUACG
rnacentral:rRNA from 1 species